UCCGGUUUGUCACCGGCAGUCACCUUAGAGUGCCCAACUGAAUGCUGGCAACUAAGAUCAAGGGUUGCGCUCGUUGCGGGACUUAACCCAACAUCUCACGACACGAGCUGACGACAACCAUGCACCACCUGUCACUUCGUCCCCCGAAGGGGAACCUUCCAUCUCUGGAAGUGGCGAAGGAUGUCAAGACCUGGUAAGGUUCUUCGCGUUGCUUCGAAUUAAACCACAUGCUCCACUGCUUGUGCGGGCCCCCGUCAAUUCCUUUGAGUUUCAACCUUGCGGUCGUACUCCCCAGGCGGAGUGCUUAAUGUGUUAACGUCAGCACUGAGGGUGGAACCCCCCAACACCUAGCACUCAUCGUUUACGGCGUGGACUAC
rnacentral:misc_RNA from 1 species